rnacentral:rRNA from 1 species
AACGUAGGGGGCCAGCGUUGCUCGGAAUUACUGGGCGUAAAGGGUCCGUAGGCGGUGCGGCAAGUCGGGGGUGAAAUCUCACGGCUUAACUGUGAGUCUGCUUUCGAAACUGCCGUGCUCGAGUGCGGGAGAGGCGAGUGGAAUUGCAGGUGUAGCGGUGAAAUGCGUAGAUAUCUGCAGGAACACCCGUGGCGAAGGCGGCUCGCUGGACCGCAACUGACGCUGAGGGACGAAAGCUAGGGGAGCAAACAGG